GUCAAUGCCUCGGUUUUUUCCUUACAAGUAUUUUCUCGGAAAAACAUCGAAAUUUAAACAAAGUAACGAUCACACAUAACACUGAAUAACUGUCUCCAUUGUAUGGAAACACGCGGUGACCGAUGUAUGUGUAUACGAAGAAGUACAUACCAGGAAGGACAAUUGUGGUAUGAUGGCUGUAACAAUGUUUGUCAGUGUGGCAAUUCUAACAAAUACAUAUACUCAUAUAGACAAAUAUUUGCAAUGCAUGCUACUAUCCCGCAAGGCUGUGUACUGGUUCCUGACCCAAAAGAUCCCUCGUACUGCUGGAUACCAAGUUGUUUGAUUUCUCCAAAACAAACCAUUGGUAUAGUGGUUGCUCCUGAACCCACUGGAACCGCAACAGGAGUGAGAUCAGAACCAUCUGUUGGAACUGGCACUGCAUCAAACAAAGCAGCUGUGUUAAACUUAAAUAAUACUGACUUUCAUGGUUCUGUCUGUAAUUUUUGAAAAGUACAUGUACUAUGUGAUGGUUUUUAUUAAGGGAGUCAGUGGCGCAGUGGUUAGCAGGUUGGACUACAACGCCAGCGGUCCGGGUUCGAUUCCCGGUCGCGGCUGAUAUCCCGACUUGAAUUCAGUGCUAGGUGAUUUGCUUAAAUUGUUUCCAGCAGUAUCGGCCUAGACUGGAUGCUGGGGAGGUUGUACAUACAAAGGAAUGCUUGUGUAUCAGAGGCAGAUAUUUGAUGACGGUUGUGAUUAUUCAUGUGAAUGCAUUGAUAAUAAAGAUGUGAUAAAAGAUGUUCACUCUUGCCACCUUCAUCUUGUCCUUAGAGAGCCGACCCUGCACACUCGUGUUGUUUGAUAUCAGAUCGUAACAUUGGUAAAAUUCCUGCCACAGUUUAUCCACUAGAAUACAGCUAGUAAACAAUAAAUCCAACCAACACCAGUAACUGGGGGCUACAUCAUUGUUGGUGGACUGGUACCAUAUCAGACUGGUUCUGGCUUCGAAGGAUCAACACCUGCUUGUAUAUAAAAUGGUCAAGUCUACAAAUAAGGGGCUGCAUCAUCAGGACAGAUGGGUGUAAAUAUAAUUGUGAAUGUAUAGAUGUAAUGGUGGACAGUACAAGUGUACAGAAAGGUGUGCUGUAUGCGACCUUGACAUGCCUUGCUGCAACCUUGACACUCCUUGCUGCAACCUUGACACUCCUGCAAAGUUAAAAUUGAUUUCCUGCAUGUAUCAACACACAUGAAGUGCUGGCGGCUAACAAAGAACUAUAGUUUCAUACUGAUGCUUAUCCAUAUUUGGUUUACAAUACUUACCUCUUUAUACAAGUUUAAUGUAUUUGGAUAUGUUCAUCCAAAAGAAUGUGAUUCAAAUGAUUAAAUAAUGGGUCAGUAAGAAUCCUAUGUCAAAGAGUUUAUUAGUGGAUCUUCACUUUCUUCUUUUUUUCCUGUAUUUAUAUCGUAUUGUUGAAUUACAAUACAUUUUGGAUACAUGAGUGAGUGAGUUGGGUUUUACAGCAAAUCAACACAAUAUAUAUAGAUAUAUAUCUAUAGCCAAACUUGGUGAUAUAUAAGACCAUUUUGUGUUGAUUCACAGUAAAACCCAACUCACUCACUCACAUAUCCAAAAUGUAUAUAUAUGUUGUAUGUAAUGAACUAAAUGGUUGUAUAAUAUUAAAGUGUUUAGGUACAUUUUUGUAGACAUUUUUGACAUAGUUAACUUGUACAGAAUACUUUACCUAAAAAUUAUAAAUGUUUUUCAGCCGUAAUUGUUUUUCCAGUAAAAUAGAAAUAUACAUCCUUUCAUAUUAAAAUGUGAAGCAAAAUAUAUAAUUCCAUUCACCUGCUUUAAACAUACUUAUUUUGAGGUCUUUAUGUUGCAAUAGACAUUAUGUGAGUAUACAGAGGGUAUUUUGUUUGUUUCAGUGUAAGAUAUAAAUAUCUUUCACGAUUGAAUACCAGAGGCAGUAUUUUCAUGAAUGGCACGGCUGCGUGUGAAAAUGUAAGACAUAGUGUUCAUGUGUGAAAGAUACUUAUAUUUUACAUGUAAAACAGUUUUUCUGUUUAUGUUUUGACAAAAUUUACCCAUUGUUUUAGCUGGACUAUAUGAAGUAUAAGGAGAGCUAUCCUAAUCGACCCAGAGUCGGUGUCGGCAUCUUUCCGUGUCCCCACCUUGGUUAAAGUUUUUUUAAACACUUUCUCUUUUUUCAACUUAUCUCUGUAAUUACAUGAUGGAUUUGAUUCAAACUCGAAAUAGUUAUUCCUCAUCAUCAUCUACAUCAUCUGACAUAAGGGCCAUAACUCUGGCACCAAUAUUUCAUGAAUUAUUCCCCCAUUUCACUUAGAUUUUCAGGUUAAAGGUUUGAUGCACUUUCAUGCUAUCUCUGUUAUUACUGAAUGGAUUUGAUUCAGAUUUCAAAUAGUUGUUCAACAUCAUCACCCACAUCAUAUGACACAAGGUGCAUAACUCUGGCACCAUUUUUUCAUGAAUUUUCCCCCUUUUUACUUAGAAUUUCAGGUUAAAGUUUUGAUGCACUUUCACUCUACCUCUGUUAUUACUGAAUGAAUUCGAUUUAAACUUAUAAUAGUUGUUCAGCAUCAUCACGCACAUCAGAUGACACAAGAUGCAUGAUUCUGGCACAAUUUUCAUGAAUUAUCCCCCUUUUGACUUAGAAUUUCAGAUUAAAGUUUUAUGCACUUUCACUCUAUCUCUGUUCUUAGUGAAUGGAUCUGAUUCAAACUUAAACAAUUUUUCAACAUGGUUACCCUUAUCAUAUGACACAAGGUGUAUAACUCUGGCACCAAUUUUUCAUGAAUUAUUUCCCCUUUUUACUUUGAAUUUCAGGUUAAGGUUUUGAUGCACUUUCACUCUGUCUCUGUUAUUCAAACUUAAAAUAGUUGUUCAACUUCAUCACCCACACCAUAUGACGCAAGGUGCAUAACUCUAGCACCAAGUUUUAGCUCGACUAUUCGAAGAAUAAGUAGAGCUAUCCUACUCACCAUGGCGUCGGCAUCGGCGUCGGCGUCACACCUUGGUUAAGUUUUUCAUAUCCACAUUUUGACAAAGUCUUUUGAGAUAAAGCUUUGAAACUUUCAACACUUGUUUACCAUCACCAUGGCCAGUUAUAGGCAAGAGCACAUAACUCCAUCUGGAAUUUUGGCUGAAUUAUGGCCCCUUUUGACUUAGAAAUCAUGGUUAAGUUUUUCGUACCAGUUCAUAUUUUGACAAAGUCUUUUGAGAUAAAGCUUUGAAACUUUCAACAAUUGUUUACCAUCACCAUGUCCAGUUAUAGGCAAGAGUAUAUAACUCCACCAAGGAUUUUGGCUGAAUUAUGGCCCCUUUCGACUUAGAAAUCUUGGUUAAAUAUUUCGUACCAGUUCAUAUUUUGACGAAGUCUCUUGAGAUAAAGCUUUGAAACUUUCAACACUUGUUUACCAUCACCAUGUCCAGUUAUAGGCAAGAGCACAUAACUCCAUCUGGGAUUUUGGCUGAAUUAUGGCCCCUUUUGACUUAGAAAUCAUGGUUAAGUUUUUCGUACCAGUCCACAUUUUGACAAAGUCUUUUGAGAUAAAGCUUUGAAACUUUCAACACUAGUUUACCAUCACCAUGGCCAGUUAUAGGCAAGAGCACAUAACUCCACCAAGGAAUUUGGCUGAAAUAUGGCCCUUUUUCAACACUAGUUUACCAUCACCAUGGCCAGUUAUAGGCAAGAGCACAUAACUCCAUCUGGGAUUUUGGCUGAAUUAUGGCCCCUUUUGACUUAGAAAUCAUGGUUAAGUUUUUCGUACCAGUUCAUAUUUUGACAAAGUCUUUGAAGAUAAAGCUUUGAAACUUUCAACACCUGUUUACAAUCACCAUGUCCAGUUAUAGGCACUAGUACAUAACUUCAUCAAGGAUAUUGGCUGAAUUAUGGUCCCUUUUGACUUAGAAAUCUUGGUUAAGUUUUUCGUACCAGUUUAUAUUUUGUGUAAAGUGUUUGACAUAUGGCUUUGAAACUUUUAUCACUUGUUCUGUCAUAUAUUUUGGCUGAAUUAUUGCCCGUUUUUGACUUGGAAAUUGGUUCUGAUUUCAUACAAGUCCACGUUUUGUCAAAACUAUUUGACAUAUGGCUUUUAAACUUUGAACACUUGUUUAUCAUCAUGACUUCCAUCUGUAGGCAAGAGUACAUAACUCUGACAACAGUUUUGGCUGAAUAAUGGCCCUUUUUGGACUUAAUUGGUUCACACAAUGCCAUUUAGUGCAAGACUUAUCAAAAUCCACAAAUACAGGAACAUUGUUUGUCUAAUGUAUUUUUUUCUUUUGUCUGAAUAUCUGUAGAAAUAUUUUGACUCCAUUCUUCAGUCAAUUCUUCGAAUAGUCGAGCGCGCUGUCAUCCGACAGCUCUUGUUCAUUAAUUAUUCCCCCUUUUUACUUAGAAUUUCAGGUUAAAGUUUUGAUGCACUUUCACUCUAUCAUUGUUAUUACUGAAUGGAUUUGAUUCAGAUUUAAAAUAGUUGUUCAACAUUAUUACCAACACCAUAUGACACAACGUGCAUAACUCUUGCACCAAUAUUUAAUGAAUUAGGCUAUUGUGCAAUAUCUUCAUCCACAAUUGGAGUCAUUUAACACUCCAGUGACGGCUCUGGUUUCUUCAGAUGUGCCCAGUUUCACUAUCCAGCAUCGAAAUAGUCGAGCGCACUGUCUGCUGUGACAGCUCUUGUUGUUUCUUACCAGGGAAAAAUUCAAAUAUUUUUACAGUGAACAUACCAGAUAUAUUUCAAUAAUUCACUAAAAAUUAAUGUAAUUAAUUUUGAUCUUACACUUAAACCACACAAAAAUCCUGUUUUUGUUUGGCUACAAGACACCUACUGUGAAAUCAUUUUUAUUCGCGUAUAACUAAUUUUUGUGUAUUUCGCGCUAGAACCGAUGCGCGGAUUUAAGCCUGUGCUAUAAUUAUUUUUCAAUAUUAGUUUUUCAUUUCUAAAAUUGAAAAUGCGUGAAUUAAAGCCCGCGUGAAACAGUCCUUUUUCACAUUUGCGCGAUAUUUCAUGCCAGCGAAUCUAAAUGAUUUCACAGUAUUUAGAAAAAAAAGAUAUUUUUUUAAGUGUUAGCAGUCUUUCAAUAAAACUUAAAUCAGAAUUUACUGAAUAUCUGAAAAUUCUGUUUUAUGCAACACUUUCUUUUUGUAGGGAGGAAUUAUAAUAGCAUAUGGCCAGCCGAAUGAGGUAUCGAGCUAAAAUGUAGUGCUGUAAAAUGUGAAGAAUUUGUGUGGUUAGAAUUGAAAAAAUAAAUAUGUUCCAAUAGUUUUAUCAGUUAAUAAAAAAUUUGGGCAGUCGUUUCGGAUGCGAAUAUUAAAUCACUCAUGCUACGCUCUCACGACUUAAUUAUUACGCAUCCAAACUCCUGCCCAUAUUUUAUGACAUGAUAAAAUAUAACAACAAAUUUAUUAUUUCUUAAUCUAACUGAUUUCAUAGUAAUAAAUGAGCUUUUUUUUUAGAUGGAGCAUAUUCUUCUUUGUAUACACAUUUAAAUAACUAGAUGUGAAUAAAAUCUAGUAAUACAGACAUUACAAGUUGUUAACAAAAUAAAUUUUUCAUACAAGCUUGUAAAUUUAUUGUCAGUAACAUAAUAUCAUAGUUUUUAUGUGACAUCAAGUGAAACAUCUGUGUGAGCAUAAUGUCAUAGUUCUUAUGUGACUUCAAAUGAAAUGUCUUUGUGAGCAUAAUGUCAAGGUUCUUAUGUGAGAGCAAGUGAAAUGUCUGUGUGAGCAAAAUUAUAUUGUUCUUAUGUGACAACAAAUGAAACAUGUGUGAAAUGUCAUAGUUCUGAUGUGACAAUGUAUGAAAUGUCUGUGUGAGCAUAAUGUCAUAGUUUUUAUGUGACAUCAAGUGAAAUGCCUGUGUGAGCACGUCAUAGUUCUUAUGUGACAACAAGUGAAAUAUCUGUAUGAUUAUAAUGUCAUAAUGUCAUAAUUCUUAUGUGACAACAAGUGAAAUAUCUGUAUGAACAUAAUGUCAUAAUUCUUAUGUGACAUCAAGUGAAAUGCCUGUGUGAGCAUAAUAUCAUAGUUCUUAUGUGAUAUCAAGUGAAAUAUCUGUGUGAGCAUAAUGUCAUAGUUCAUGUGUGAUAUCAAGUGAAAUGUCUGUGUGAGCAUAAUAUCAUAGUUCUUAUGUGAUAUCAAGUGAAAUAUCUGUGUGAGCACAGUAUCAUAGUUCUUAUGUGAUAUCAAGUGAAAUAUCUGUGUGAGCAUAAUGUCAUAGUUCUUAUGUGACAUCAAGUGAAAUGUCUGUGUGAGCAUAAUGUCAUAGUUCUGUGACAUCAAGUGAAAUAUCUGUGUGAACAUAAUGUCAUUGUUUUUCAGUUCAGCACAAUAUCAUAGUUCUUAUGUGAUAUCAAAUGUAAUGUCUUUGUGAGCAUAAUGUCAUAGUUCUUAUGUGACAUCAAGUGAAAUGCCUGUGUGAGCAAAAUUUCAUAGUUCUUAUGUGUUACCAAAUGAAAUGUCUGUGUGAGCAUAAUGUCAUAGUUCUGUGACAUCAAGUGAAAUAUCUGUGUGAACAUAAUGUCAUUGAUAAUGAUAAGCCUUAGGCCAUUGAUAUGUAUUAAAAUGUGGCUUAAUGUUCACUUAAUAGACUCAAUAGUAAAAAGGCUGGUAAUAACUAUCAGUAACUAUCAGUAAUUUCUAUGUUUGGAAAUGUUUGUUCUAGGUAAAAUCUGUUAAAAUAAGCCAAUAUUUCAGUCAAGAUAUAUAAUUCCACUGUUUUUUAUGCCCCCCACUCCCCAAAAAAGUGUUUGAUAUAUAUUGAUGAAACCUUGCAUGAGUCUUAAUCAUGAUAUGAAUUUACGCACCUCCUAUUUUUCAUUUUGGUCCGCCCCCUAUGGCCCCUGAAAUAGUCAAAAAUGCACAUUUUCACCUUGUGACGCACCUAGCUCAGAAAGUAUUUAAUAUAAUUAGUUGAAAACUUGCAUAAGUCUUUAUCAUGAUAUCAACUUGCACACGUCUUAUUUUUUGGCUGGCUCCACCCCCUAUUUUUAUGCCCCCCUUCGAAGAAGGAGGGGUAUAUUGUUUGCAGAUGUCAGUCGGUCUGUCGGUCGGUUGGAAUGUAGACCAAUCCGUUUCCGGAUGAUAACUCAAGAUCGCUUGGGCCUAGGAUCAUGAAAGUUGAUAGGGAGGUUGUUCAUCACCAGCAGAUGACCCCUAUUGAUUUUGAGGUCUGUAUGUCAAAGGUCAAGGUCACAGUGACCCUGAAUAGUAUAACGGUUUCCGGAUGAUAACUCGAGAACACUUGGGCCUAGGAUCAUGAAAGUUGAUAGGGAGGUUGGCCAUGACCAGCAGAUGACCCCUAUUGAUUUUGAGGUCAGUAUGACAAAGGUCAAGGUCAUAGUGACCCUGAACAGUUAAACGGUUUCCUGAUGAUAACUCAAGAACGCUUAUGCCUAGGGUCAUGAAAGUUGAUAGUGAGGUUGGUCAUCACCAGCAAAUGACCCCUAUUGAUUUUGAGGUCAGUAUGUCAAAGGUCAAGGUCACAGUGAUGCUGAAUAGUAAAACAGUUACCGGAUGAUAACUCAAGAACACUUGGGCCUGGAACAUGAAAGUUGAUAGGGAGGUUGGUCAUGACCAGCAGAUGACCUCUAUUAAUUUUGAGGUCAGUAUAUUAAAGGUCAAGGUUACAGUGACCCUGAACAGUUAAACGGUUUCCGGAUGAUAACUCAAGAUUGCUUAGACCUAGGGUCACGAAAGUUAAUAGGGAGGUUGGUCAUGACCAGCAGAUAACCCCUAUUGAUUUUGAGAUCAGUAUGUCAAAGGUCAAGGUCACAGUGACCAGGAAUAGUUAAAUGGUUUCCGGGCAAUAACUCAAGAGUGCUUGGGCCUAGUUUCAGGAAAAUUGAUAGUUAGGUGUGCCAUGACCAGCAGAUGACCCCUAUUGAUUCUGAGGUCAUUAGGUCAAAGGUCAAGGUCACAUUGGCCAGGAACAGUUAAACAGUUUCUAUCUUGUCCAAAACCAUAGGGCCUAGGGCUUUGGUAUUUGGUAUGUAGCAAAAUCUAGUGGUCCUCUACCAAGAUUGUUCAGAAUAUUUCUCUGGCGUCAAAUAUGGCUCCACCACUGAGGUCACGUGGUUUAUAUAGACUUAUAUAGGAAAAAACUUUGAAAAACCUCUUCUCCAAAACCACAGGGCAUAGGGCUUCAAUAUUUUGUAUAUGACAUCAUCUAGUGGUCCUCUACUAAGAUGAUUCAAAUUAUUUCCCUAGGGUCAGAUAUGGCUCUGCCCUGGGGGUCACAUGGUUUACAUAGACUUAUAUAGGGAAAAACUUUGAAAAUCUUCUUGUCCAAACCACAAAGACUAUGGCUUUGAUAUUUUGUAAUGUAGCAUCAUCUAGUGGUUCUCUACCAAGUUUGUUCAAAUUAUCCCUCUAGGGACAAAUAUGGCCCUGCCCCAGGGGUCACAUGGUUCAUAUAGACAUAUAUAGGGAAAACUGAGGAAUCUUCAUGUCCAUAACUUACAUCAUUCAAAUUUGGUCCACAUGUAUAGUUUUGAGCGGCUUGAUGAACCUUGACAUGAGUUGACCUUGAUCUUGACCUAGUGACCUACUUUCACAUUUCUGUAGCUACAGCUUUCAGAUUUGGACCAUAUGCAUAGGUUUGUGUACUGAAAAAAAAACUUUGACCUUGUUAAUGACCUAGUGACCUACUUGCACAUUUUUGAAGGUACAGGCUUCAAAUUUGGACCACAUGCAUAGUUUUUUGUUCCAAAAUAAAAUUUGACCUUGAUUUUGACCUAGUGACCUACUUUCACAUUUCUCAAGCUACAGCCUUCAAAUUUGAACCACAAGCAUAGUUUUGUGUACUGAAAUGAACUUUGAUCUUUAGAUUGACCUCGUGACCUACUUUCACAUUUCUGAAGGUACAGGCUUCAAAUUUGGACCACUUGCAUAGUUUUGUGUUCCGAAAUAAAAUUUGACCUUGAUUUUGACCUAGUGACUUACUUUCACAUUUCUCAAGCUACAGCCUUCAAAUUUGAACCACAUGCAUAGUUUUAUGUACCGAAAUGAACUUUGAUCUUGAGAUUGACCUAGUGACCUACUUUCACAUUUCUCAAGCUACAGGCUUCAAAUUUGGACCACAUGCAUGUUUUUGUGUUCUGAAUGGAAAUUUGACAUUGAUUUUUACCUAUUACCUACUUUCACAUUUCUCAUGCUACAGCCUCCAGAUUUGAAGCACAUGCAUAGUUCUGUCUACUGAAAUGAACUUUGACCUUGAAGUUGAUCUAGUGACCUAUUUUCACAUUUCUCAAGCCACAGCUUUCAAAUUUGGACCACAUACACAUUGUAAUGUACCGAAAUAAAAUUUGACCUUGAUUUUGACCUUUAGCUAGUCUUGAAAUUUGGAACAUUCAAAAAUGGCUCAGUGGAUGGCGCCAAGAUCACAUUGUAAUCUCUUGUUAGGUUAAUAAGUUAAAGGUCAAGGUCAGAUUAAACCAGAAUGGUAGAACUUUUGUUUACAGUGAGCAUAUAAUUUCUGUUCCUUGUGCAAUUACUGAAUGCAUGAAGGGGGCAUUUCGUGUUCGAUGAGCUCUUGUUAAAGUUACAGCUCCUGAAAUAGUAAAAAAAUGCACAUUUUCACCUACUUAUGUGCCUAGCAUAAAAACUAUUUGAUGUGAAUUCAUGAAACCUUGCUUGAGUCUUUAUCAUGACGUGUCCUUGCACACUUGGUAUUCUUCAUGAGAAUCUUGGCACUUGUACAGAGUUAUCGCCCUUGAAAUAGCCAAAAUAGUGGAUUUUUUGUUUGUGAUGCUUAUAGCUCAAAAAGUAUAUGGCCUAGAAUAAUGAAUCCUUUUCAUAAAAUGUUUGUUGAGGCUAUACCACAUUAAGACUGCAAACAUUUGAAUUGUUGUCCCUUAUUUAUGACAAAUGUACCAGUGGUGGGCACACCCUGUGUCCUACAGACACAUUCUAGUUUCAUAUGUUUUAUAGAGGAUAUUACAUGAGUGUCUAUUCAUAUUGAAUUUAUUAAAUGAGUUGAAUAAAAUAAUAAAAUGUGAGGCUCUGCUGAGCAUUUUAUCAAUUUUAUUCAAUGAGGAAAGUCACAAAUGUAAUAUUCUUUUUAUCACAUGUUAGUUUUUCGUGCUGAAACAUAAAAAAUUCUACUUUCUUUAGCUAUUAAAACAAGUCAGUUUGACCAACGUCUCCUACACUUGAAAUGAUGUUAUCUUCAAAAGUUUAUUUCACUAGUGUAUUAUCAUUUUUAUGUAAUGGCUUUAUUACCCUCCCGUGACAUCAAACGUGAUAAACACUUAUUUUACAUUGUACAUAGAAUAGAAAUAAUUUACAAUUGAUAAAAGAUAUUCUGUUUGUUCUUUGUUGUGAAGGAUGUCAACUAUUGAUCCACCAUACCUGUCUUCUUUAAAUAUUAAUACAUUUAUUUUUUGAUGAAGUUUCAUGUAAAUCAAAUAUAUGUUUAUAGACAUUUGUUUAAACAUGACAGAUUUUAUUAGCUCACCUGUCACAUAGUGACAGGGUCAGCUUUUGUGAGCGCCCUUCGUCUGUCCACAAUUUCCUUGUGAACACGAUAGAGACCACAUUUUGUAUUUGCUUUUUAUCAAAUUUGCACACAGCUUGUAUGAGCCUAAUAUCUUGGUUCCUUUCGAAACCUGGCCAAAUCCAUCAUGGGUUCCAGAGUUAUUGCCCUUUAAAGGGCCAGAAUUUGCAAUUUUUGGCUUGUGAACAUGAUAGAGACCAUAUUUUACAUCAACCAGAAUCAAACUCGCACACAACUUGUAUUGGCAUACUAUCUCUGUUCCUUUCGAAAACUGGUCAAAUCUCAUCAUGGGUUGCAAUGUUUUGGCCCCUGCAAGGGCCAAAAUUUGCUAUUUUGGUUUUUGCAGCCAUAUAGAGACUUCAUUUAUGGUUUGAUUUGAUACAAACUUGCAAAAUAUCUUCAACAACAAUAAAUCUUGGAUUCCAUGCUCAAUCUGUCAGAUCCAAUCAUAGGUUCUGGAGUUACGGUCCUGACUGACCCCUGAAAGUGUCAAAAUUUUUACCUUGUGAACAUGAUAGAAGUGACAUUUUAUAUUAGAUUUUAACCACAGUAACACACAAUUUAAGUCACAAUAAGAUCUCAGUUCCUUUCCAAAACUUGCUAGAUUUUAUCAUGGGUUCUAGAGUUACUGCCCCUGAAAGUAGCAAAAUUUUCCAUUUUGGUCCUUUCAGCCAUAUAAAGGUUUCAUUUAUGCUUUGAUUUGAUACAGACUUGCACAGAAUGAUUAUCUUGAUGAUCUCUAGGCCUGGAUCGAAACUGGGUCAUGUCAGGUCAAAAACUAGGUCAUGAGGUCAAAUCAAAGGAAAAUCUUGUUAACAGCCUAGAGGCCACAUUUAUGACCUUAUCUUCAUGAAACUUGGUCAGAAUGUUUAUAAUGAUGAUUUCUAGGCCAAGUUCGAAACUGGGUCAUAUGGGGUCAAAAACUAGGUCACCCAGUCAAAUCAAAGGAAAGGCUUGUUAACACUCUUGUCCAUUUGAUGUGCAUGAAACUUGGUUAGAAUGUUUGUCUGCAUGAAAUAUCAUAUGAAUUUUUAUCCGGGUCAUGUAUGGUUAAAAAUUAGGUCACCAGGUCAAAUCAAAGAAUAAGCUAGUUUACGCCCUAGAGGGCACAUUUUUGAUUCUAUCUUCAUAAAAUUUGGUCAGAUGUUUGUUAUCAUGAAUUCUUGGACGGUUAUAAACCUGGGUCACGUGGGGUCAAAACUAGGUCACUAGGUCAAGUCAUAGGAAAAGCUUGUAUACACUUUAGAGGCCACAUUUUUUUCUCUCAUCUUCCCAAAACCUUGUCAGAAUGUUUGUUUUCAUAAAAUUUGGACAAAUUCGAAUCUGGGUCAUGCGGGGUGAAAAAAUAGGUAACUAGGUCUUUAUGAAAAUUGGUCAGAAUAUCUGACUUCAUGAAAUCACUAGGUAAAUUAUGUAUACACUGUUAUGGUAUGUUACACAGGUGAGCGACCUAGGGCCAUCUCGGCCCUCUAGUCUUUAAUAUUUUUUGUGUUCGUUUUAAUGUAUGUCUAAAUUGGGAAUGCACAUUUCACAGUCUGCACUAGUUUGUUGUUUUUCAGUAAAUGAUGUCUAAAACA